rnacentral:rRNA from 1 species
UACGUAGGGUGCAAGCGUUAAUCGGAAUUACUGGGCGUAAAGCGUGCGCAGGCGGCUUUGCAAGACAGAUGUGAAAUCCCCGGGCUUAACCUGGGAACUGCAUUUGUGACUGCAUGGCUGGAGUGCGGCAGAGGGGGGACUGGAAUUCCCGGUGUAGCAGUGAAAUGCGUAGAUAUCGGGAGGAACACCAGUGGCGAAGGCGAGUCUCUGGGAUGAUGCUGACGCUGAUGCGCGAAAGCCAGGGGAGCAAACGGG